UACGGAGGGUGCAAGCGUUAUCCGGAAUCACUGGGUUUAAAGGGUGCGUAGGCGGUUUGAUAAGUCUGUAUUGAAAGCCCAUCGCUUAACGGUGGAACUGGUAUGGAUACUGUCAGACUUGAAUUAGGAUGAGGUAGGCGGAAUGUGACAUGUAGCGGUGAAAUGCUUAGAUAUGUCAUAGAACACCAAUUGCGAAGGCAGCUUACUAGACCUUAAUUGACGCUGAGGCACGAAAGCGUGGGGAUCAAACAGG
rnacentral:rRNA from 1 species